GAUGAACGCUGGCGGCGUGCCUAAUACAUGCAAGUCGAGCGAACAGAUGAGGAGCUUGCUCCUCUGACGUUAGCGGCGGACGGGUGAGUAACACGUGGAUAACCUACCUAUAAGACUGGGAUAACUUCGGGAAACCGGCGCUAAUACCGGAUAAUAUAUUGAACCGCAUGGUUCAAUAGUGAAAGACGGUUUUGCUGUCACUUAUAGAUGGAUCCGCGCCGCAUUAGCUAGUUGGUAAGGUAACGGCUUAUCAAGGCUACGAUGCGUAGCCGACGUGAGAGGGUGAUCGGCCACACUGGAACUGAGACACGGUCCAGACUCCUACGGGAGGCAGCAGUAGGGAAUCUUCCGCAAUGGGCGAAAGCCUGACGGAGCAGCGCCGCGUGAGUGAUGAAGGUCUUCGGAUCGUAAAACUCUGUUAUUAGGGAAGAACAAAUGUGUAAGUAACUAUGCACGUCUUGACGGUACCUAAUCAGAAAGCCACGGCUAACUACGUG
rnacentral:rRNA from 1 species